AUUGAACGCUGGCGGCAGGCCUAACACAUGCAAGUCGAGCGAGCGGCGGACGGGUGAGUAAUGUCUGGGAAACUGCCUGAUGGAGGGGGAUAACUACUGGAAACGGUAGCUAAUACCGCAUACCAUCAGAUGUGCCCAGAUGGGAUUAGCUAGUAGGUGGGGUAAUGGCUCACCUAGGCGACGAUCCCUAGCUGGGCUGAGAGGAUGACCAGGCACACUGGAACUGAUACACGGUCCAGCCUCCUACGGGAGGAAGCUGUGGGGGAUAUUGCACCAUGGGCGCAAGCCUGAUGCAGCCAUGCCGCGUGUGUGAAGAAGGCCUUCGGUUUGUAAAGCACUUGCAGCUGUGAGGCGUUACCCUCAGAAGAAGCACCGGCUAACUCCGUGCCAGCAGCCGCGGUAAUUC
rnacentral:rRNA from 1 species